UCCCCGUUACCGGGGCAGUCUGAUUAGAAAAAUCCAACUAAUCAUAAGGGUUGCGCUCGUUGAAGGACUUAACCUAACAUCUCACGACACGAGCUGACGACGGCCAUGCAACACCUGUCACUUGGCUCCCGAAGGCACUCUCGACUUUCGUCAAAAUUCCAAGGAUGUCAAGCCUGGGUAAGGUUCUUGGCUUAGCAUCCAAUUAAACAACACGCUCCACCGCUUGUGCGGGUCCCCGUCAAUUCCUUUGAGUUUUAAUCUUGCGACCGUACUCCCCAGGCGGGAUGCUUAACGCGUUAGCUUCGCUACAUAUCGGGUCGAUACGACAUACAGCUAGCAUCCAUAGUUUACGGCGUGGACUAC
rnacentral:misc_RNA from 1 species